GGUGUGUGGGCAGCUCUGUGUUGACCUCCUGCAACUCAUCCAUGACAUCAGGUCUUAGGCUUUUCAUCUGGAUCUUGGAGGCUGAUCAGAGUUCAGAGGUCAGGAAAGAGAGGAGAAACAGGCCAAGAGGACACAAAAUGUAAGUAGAGUUUCCUGGCUGAGGAAGUUGAGGGGGUGCACGCACAAAAUGUUGAAUUGUCUUGUCCGGCUAACUUCCAGUUUUGGGGAAAAUAAGGGCAAAGUAAGUUUAAAGGAGAGAAGCAGAAAAUAAAGGUUUGGAGGAGGAGAAUAAGGGAUGGGGCAGUUGUUUUGCCAAGGCACGGGCAGGUGGCACUGAUGUGUCCCCAAGUAUUUUGCUCUCUUCAGGAAGUUUAAAUGGACCCCUUCAGAGUUGAAUACUUCCCCUGAAGAGAAAAUAUGGAGAAACAGGCUCUUAUACUCUUGGGAGACUGCAGAUACAUUAAUUUUUCUCAUUUUUGUUCCUCCGGG
rnacentral:lncRNA from 1 species